rnacentral:rRNA from 1 species
CAGUCGCCGCGGUAAUACAGAGGGUGCGAGCGUUAAUCGGAUUUACUGGGCGUAAAGCGUGCGUAGGCGGCUUUUUAAGUCGGAUGUGAAAUCCCUGAGCUUAACUUAGGAAUUGCAUUCGAUACUGGGAAGCUAGAGUAUGGGAGAGGAUGGUAGAAUUCCAGGUGUAGCGGUGAAAUGCGUAGAGAUCUGGAGGAAUACCGAUGGCGAAGGCAGCCAUCUGGCCUAAUACUGACGCUGAGGUACGAAAGCAUGGGGAGCAAACAGGUUUAGAGACCCCAGUAGUCCCUGUCUCUUAUAA